rnacentral:rRNA from 1 species
CCCUUAGAUGUUCUGGGCCGCACGCGCGCUACACUGUUCGACGCAGCGAGUCUUAACCUUGACCGAAAGGUUUGGGUAAUCUUCAGCAAAGUCGAACGUGAUGGGGAUCGAUCAUUGCAAUUAUUGAUCGUGAACGAGGAAUUCCUAGUAAGUGCAAGACAUCAGCUUGCGCUGAUUACGUCCCUGCCCUUUGUACACACCGCCCGUCGCUACUACCGAUUGAAUGGUUUAGUGAGAUCUCUGGAUUGACGCUGGCUAGGGGGCGACCCUUGGCCAGGCUGUCGAGAAACUGCUCAAACUUGAUCAUUUAGAGGAAGUAAAAGUCGUAACA